CGGAUCCCAUCAGAACUCCGCAGUCAAGCGUGCUUGGGCGAGAGUAGUACUAGGAUGGGUGACCUCCUGGGAAGUCCUCGUGUUGCACCCC
rnacentral:rRNA from 1 species